ACUGUGGCUAUUCCUCCAGAGUUCAGAGAAAAACACUGGACAGCAGCACCAGUGCUCCGAUGUACAACAGACAAUGGUGUGAAGCUGAGACCGUUACCACACGGGUUGUCUGGGGCAACAAACCUUUUCAAAUGUGGGCAAGUAGCUGCUGCUGGAUCCCCACAGUUUACUAUGGUUGGAGCCAAUCAUGGAGAUUGAGCACUCUUGUUGAUCUGGGAGAAAGAUCUGACACUAAACAACCAAACAGAUCACCAGAAAUUGCCAUCCUUCCUUUCCUAAGAGUUCCUCAGAACUGCCCGCGGAC